AAUCCAUAGGUUAAUGAGGCGAACCGGGGGAACUGAAACAUCUAAGUACCCCGAGGAAAAGAAAUCAACCGAGAUUCCCCCAGUAGCGGCGAGCGAACGGGGAGGAGCCCAGAGCCUGAAUCAGCAUGUGUGUUAGUGGAAGCGUCUGGAAAGGCGCGCGAUACAGGGUGACAGCCCCGUACACAAAAGCGCAUGUGCUGUGAGCUCGAUGAGUAGGGCGGGACACGUGGUAUCCUGUCUGAAUAUGGGGGGACCAUCCUCCAAGGCUAAAUACUCCUGACUGACCGAUAGUGAACCAGUACCGUGAGGGAAAGGCGAAAAGAACCCCGGCGAGGGGAGUGAAAAAGAACCUGAAACCGUGUACGUACAAGCAGUGGGAGCCCCACCACUAAGCCAGUGGUGGACUCCACAUACGCAUCCUUUGCUGAAGGCAAUGGUUAACGGAGCGAAAGCGACGUUCAACCGCAAAAGAAGCAGAGGGGGCUUAGUGGUGGGGUGACUGCGUACCUUUUGUAUAAUGGGUCAGCGACUUAUAUUCUGUAGCAAGGUUAACCGUAUAGGGGAGCCGCAGGGAAACCGAGUCUUAACCGGGCGUUAAGUUGCAGGGUAUAGACCCGAAACCCGGUGAUCUAGCCAUGGGCAGGUUGAAGGUUGGGUAACACUAACUGGAGGACCGAACCGACUAAUGUUGAAAAAUUAGCGGAUGACCUGUGGCUGGGGGUGAAAGGCCAAUCAAACCGGGAGAUAGCUGGUUCUCCCCGAAAGCUAUUUAGGUAGCGCCUCGUGAACUCAUCUCCGGGGGUAGAGCACUGUUUCGGCUAGGGGGCCAUCCCGGCUUACCAACCCGAUGCAAACUGCGAAUACCGGAGAAUGUUAUCACGGGAGACACACGGCGGGUGCUAACGUCCGUCGUGAAGAGGGAAACAACCCAGACCGCCAGCUAAGGUCCCAAAGUCAUGGUUAAGUGGGAAACGAUGUGGGAAGGCCCAGACAGCCAGGAUGUUGGCUUAGAAGCAGCCAUCAUUUAAAGAAAGCGUAAUAGCUCACUGGUCGAGUCGGCCUGCGCGGAAGAUGUAACGGGGCUAAACCAU
rnacentral:rRNA from 1 species